UACGUAGGGGGCAAGCGUUGUCCGGAUUUAUUGGGCGUAAAGAGCGUGUAGGCGGCCAGGUAGGUGGGUUGUGAAAACUGGGAGGCUCAACCUUCAGACGUCACCCAAACCCCCCUGGCUAGAGUCCGGAAGAGGAUCGCGGAAUUCCCCGGGUGUAGAGGUGAAAUUCGUAGAUAUCGGGAGGAACACCGGUGGCGAAGGCGGC
rnacentral:rRNA from 1 species